rnacentral:misc_RNA from 1 species
UCUCCGUAGGUGAACCUGCGGAGGGAUCAUUACAUAGUUCGUGCCCUCUCGGGUAGAUCUCCCUCCCUUUGUUAUUGCUACCUUUUUUGUUUUGGCGCGCCGCCCUCGGCUACCGGCCCCGGCUGGUACGCGCCCGCCAGAGGACCCCAAACCCUGAACGUCAGUGUCGUCUGAGUACUAUACAAUAGUUAAAACUUUCAACAACAGAUCUCUUGGUUCUG